ACAAGUAGUCAGAGCCCGUUAAUGGGUGAUGGCGUGCCUUUUGUAGAAUGAACCGGCGAGUUACGAUUUGAUGCAAGGUUAAGCAGUAAAUGUGGAGCCGUAGCGAAAGCGAGUCUGAAUAGGGCGUUUAGUAUUUGGUCGUAGACCCGAAACCAGGUGAUCUACCCUUGGUCAGGUUGAAGUUCAGGUAACACUGAAUGGAGGACCGAACCGACUUACGUUGAAAAGUGAGCGGAUGAACUGAGGGUAGCGGAGAAAUUCCAAUCGAACCUGGAGAUAGCUGGUUCUCUCCGAAAUAGCUUUAGGGCUAGCCUCAAGUGAUGAUUAUUGGAGGUAGAGCACUGUUUGGACGAGGGGCCCCUCUCGGGUUACCGAAUUCAGACAAACUCCGAAUGCCAAUUAAUUUAACUUGGGAGUCAGAACAUGGGUGAUAAGGUCCGUGUUCGAAAGGGAAACAGCCCAGACCACCAGCUAAGGUCCCAAAAUAUAUGUUAAGUGGAAAAGGAUGUGGCGUUGCCCAGACAACUAGGAUGUUGGCUUAGAAGCAGCCAUCAUUUAAAGAGUGCGUAAUAGCUCACUAGUCGAGUGACACUGCGCCGAAAAUGUACCGGGGCUAAACAUAUUACCGAAGCUGUGGAUUGUCCUUUGGACAAUGGUAGGAGAGCGUUCUAAGGGCGUUGAAGCAUGAUCGUAAGGACAUGUGGAGCGCUUAGAAGUGAGAAUGCCGGUGUGAGUAGCGAA
rnacentral:rRNA from 1 species